CCCAUUGAUGCAGUGAGUGCGCAUCAUGUCAGCAGAGCAGGAACUACACUUGACAAGAAAAGCAUUUAGUGCCUGGUUGUGUGUCAGGUGCAUGGAGCGGUUAUGGAAGUGUCACAUUAAUGUGUCUCAUGCGGUUGACAUGGUUAAACACCCGAUGACUGUAAUAACUGCCUGAAUACGAGUUGUCAGUUUCUGUGACGUGUUUUUAACAAUUAUUCUAUGACCAAAGCGUUGACUCUCUCUCUGAAUGUGAAUGCUUUUCUGUAUACAUGCAUUUACGUCUAAAGUCCUCUGGCUCCUCUCUUCAUUCAGCUCCUGAACUCCGUUACCUGAUGUUUGAGUGAUGCCGGUGUCGGCAAUAUUUCUUCGCCUUUUUCCCGACAGACACCUUCAUCAUCGUGAAAACUCCAGUUAACCCACCAGGAGGAGAAAGCAAAGGUCCCAGACACUGUUAUCUAUCAAAGACUUGGCUACAUCCAUGCCGCCUCGAGAAAUGAGUCGAGCACCCACAUGCAGCCACAUCCUGAGUAAAGUUUGAGCAACAGGAAUAGAAAGCCAGUGUCUCCAUCGCAGGUAUUAUGCUGAAGAUAUGUUCAGAAUUUCCUUCAGUCUUUUCAUGCUUUGCAUUUUGUCCGUUGCCUUUCUGGUGAUCUUCUUCUGUCUCUUCUGUCCUUUUAUAUUUCAGUUCACUGCUAAUGUCCGUGUCGGGGAGAAACGCUCUUUUUGUGUCCAAUUUAUCUACCUCACCUUCUCCUCUUCUCCACCCCUUCAUCUGCACCUUCAUCUCUCUCACUCUUCAUUUGUCCUCGCCCCUUCCUUUCUCCUGGAUUGACUCUUUCCAAUUACAUGAGCGGUUUCUUCAAUCACACUGUAACAAAUUACCUGACAAAUUAAAAAAAAAGCAUCCCUGAUAUUUCUGGGCUUAUCCAUAAUGAAAUUUGCAAACACAUACAUCAGGAUUUUGUUGUCAGCAACCCAUUGCUAUUUAAUCUUCCUGUUCCUCCUGCGUUUUUAAUAUACUACACACAGUUAUUUUCCACAUAAAAUACUCAAUCUCAGUAGCUGGUGCUGUGCUGUUAACUUUACUUUUUGUUUUAC
ensembl:lncRNA